UAUUGUCUCGUUUUGUGUGCGUAGGAAUUAAAAAAAGAGGUAUGAGUGGUCGUUAAGUUCUUGCGUUUUUUCCUUGAAACAAAGAUCAAAGAAAUUUGUCCUCCACUUUUCCUUUACCCAAUUCUUUUGAAUCAAAUGAGUGAAUAGUGUCACUAAAGGUUGUGAGUUUUUUCUUUUGCAAGAAGGGAGAGAGCUUUUUUUUGGUAGUUCAGGUGUGUUGGAAGUACAUUUAGCUGUUCUGUUGCAUAACGUGCAGGCAUCCCCUAGAUGGCAUGAUCAUGUAUAUUUUUGUAGAACUAGUGUGCUCGAGGCGGAGGGUUCACUAGUUUCCUUCCCAUGUUUUUUCUUUCUUGUUGUUUGUGAUGCCCUCUCGCGUUUUUUGUUCGUUUUUAUGUAUAUGUAUAUGCCCAGUUAGACCGUUUGGGACUAGUGUUUUUAUGGGUUUUUUAGUUUUAUAGACUAGUGGAUUGAGCGAAAACACUUGGUUUGGUGGAAAACAUUUGACACAAAGGGAUACAUUGAGGCCUUGUUCAAGCAGAUUUUAACUAAAUGAGUGUUUUCAACCAAAGCCUCAACCAAAAAUACAAUUGCACAUUUUAUUUCAACACUAAAUGAGUGCAAACAAGCAGAUUUUCACAUCAUCUUCUUACUCAACUACUUGGUCAC
rnacentral:lncRNA from 1 species